rnacentral:rRNA from 1 species
AGGAUAAACGCUGGCGGCGUGCCUAACACAUGCAAGUCGAACGUCCUACGCAAGUAGGGAGUGGCGGACGGGUGAGUAACACGUGGGCAAUCUACCUUUCGGUGAGGAAUACCGGCGAGAAAUCGCCGACAAUACCGCAUACGCUUCGCAAGAAGCAAAGUCGCAAGACGCCGGAGGAGGAGCCUGCGCCCGAUUAGCUCGUUGGUGGAGUAAUGGUCUACCAAGGCGACGAUCGGUAGCUGGUCUGAGAGGAUGAUCAGCCACACUGGGAUUGAGAACGGCCCAGACUCCUACGGGGGGCAGCAGUGAGGAAUUUUGGACAAUGGGCGCAAGCCUGAUCCAGCCAUGCCGCGUGGGUGAAGAAGGCCUUCGGGUUGUAAAGCCCUUUUGUUGGGAAGAAUCGUACGGUUGAAUAUUCCGUGCGGAUGACGGUACCAAAGAAUAAGCACCGGCUAACUUCGUGCCAGCAGCCGCGGUAA